GGGAGGAGGCCAGCCCUGCUAGCUCGUACCUGAUCUUUGUGGGAAUUGCGAACAGGUGGCCCUUCCGCGGGGCCGGUGCAGACCUGGCCAGGGCGCAGCGUGAGUACCUGAGCUCAGGCUGCCUUCCAGUACCCCCUGCACCCCUGCCCAGGCACCUCUGUGCCAACUGAACCUACUCAAAGGCACUAGAAGGUGAGAAAGGACAUAAAGUGAGGUCCAUAUUCUGAAGGAGAACUACAUGUUGGAAGAAACAAAUGUGGAAGAAAAUGAAGUGUAAGCAUUUGGAGGCCAAAACAUGCUUCAGCUGUGCUUUAAAGAAAGAAAAUGGGCUUUUUGGAACCCUGGAUCUGAUUUCAUCCAAAGUAACUCCUGAAUACCGACCUACACAGAGACACCAUCAACUUCCAUGGACCUACAGAGAAAACAUGGAUUUAAUUCACGUUUUGCUGAGCUAUUCAACUUUGCAAAACUGAUUUAGAAAAUGUGGUCUGAGAAUUUUAAGAAAUUUCUCAUGUCUGUGUCACAAGCCAGGACGGGGUGAGGGUGUGUGGGGAAACUGCACCCUGGCUGCAUUCACCUGGACCCGGAAAGUCUCAUGGGAGGUCUACGCUGUGCCGGGCAGUGUCCAGGCGCUGAGAAAUAAACAACAGAGACUGAUGUGGCCCUGUAGGAACGCACACUCUUGUUUGGGGGCAGGGAGCGUGAUACACUAGACUGUGAUU